rnacentral:lncRNA from 1 species
UUGAACUGAAGAGAAGAAUGGAGCUUGAGUCCAAAUAGGGCAAGCACUUGCACAUCGUAAGAAGAGUUCUAUGAAGCUUCAGAAGAGAUGUGAAGCUAGUACAAAGAUAAGAUAGUGAUCAAGAAGAGUAGUAAUCAGAGUUGGGAGAUCUUUGGAGGAGUAUGGGAGCUUAAGGGCGAGGCCGGUUCGGAUGGUACGUACAGCCCUCCUGGACUUGGCCCUAUCUUUGCACAGCCCUUCGACCACUUCUGGAGCUCAUAAGACACUUCUUAAGCUUGAUAGCAAUCUCUAUAAGACUUGCCCUAUCUUUGCACCAGACCCAAACUCCUCCAUACUUCUCCUUUGUCUCCAUUUCUUUUCUUCAAGUUAACACUCCCCCUCAAGCUUGACUUUAGCUGAUCCUAAGUCAAGCUUGGAACCUUGAAGAACUUCCUCAUUAAAAACCUCACCAAGGAAAACCCUUUGGGACAAAACCUUGAUGAGGGAAAAAGAGUAAAGCCUCCAAGGCCUAGGGAUUGGCCAGUGAGUCUUUGUGCCUUACCAACAAUGUAAGGGACACAAAGACUCUGGAUCAUGGCCCUAAUGUGAUGCAAGAUAGAACCCACUCCUCUUGCUCAUCAUCAACACUUCUUGUACUCUUCUUUAGACAGAUCUUGGUCUCUCCCCCUUUCUCACAAUCUUCUUGUUGUGUAUCAAGUGCUCGGACUAACAGAUCUUCCUUGAUAGAUACAAGCUGAGUCUUGGCUGCUUCUUCUUCAUGAGUCACCACCAUGUUACUGAAACCUUCAUGACCGGAUGCUUCAGACUGUAGUACCAAUCACCUCACUCUAGAGGCCGCAUUGGUGAUUGCUUCUUCAUCCUUCAUAACUGAUCUGAUCCUCUUCUUGAAUAACCACCAAGUACUCUCAGAUCAUGUAAGCUUCAACACUCCCCCUCAAGCUUGAGACUCUCACAGGAACAAGCUUGGAUGGAUAGCUUCAUGAUCUGUACCAUUAC